rnacentral:tRNA from 1 species
UCCAUAAUAGCUCAGUUGGUAAAGAAUCUGCCUGCAAUGCAGGAGACACUGGUUCAAUUCCUGAGUUGGGAA